rfam:Cavia porcellus supercont2_44 genomic scaffold, whole genome shotgun sequence.
AGGGGUCGAAUGUAGAUGUUUCAGACAAACGUGUAUAAAUAAAUGAAUUGUUGGUAACUUAGUUAUUGACCUGGAGACUGAUAGCUUGUUCAAGAAACUCCA